AGGAAACAGGGAAGAUGCCUUGUCUGCUGGUUCCUGGUAUUUUACCUUCAUACCAGUUUUGAUCAACUCGCUUAAGAAGAAUGACUUUGUCUCCCUGGAAUGCAUUAUAAAAAUGGGUUAUCAGCAGAUGAGUAUUUGUCUUGGUAUGGGAUAUGUUACAUCCUGCAGAAAGUCUGUGGCAAGACAAGACAUAUGGAAGAUACUGAAGCACGCUAUGCAGAAUUUUGUACUGUAACUGAUAAAGCAAAGAAUGAAAGAAUGGUGAUAAUCUUAAAAGAACAGUGGGACUGACUAAAUGCAAAAUCUACAAAAUAGAUGGAAGAUAAGUAAUGAUGGAAUACAGAUGUCAGGAUUGAAACUGUUGAGGCAGUUUCUUGUGUAAUUCUGUGAUUUUUUUCAAAAGAAAAUUCCACAUCCAUUUAAAU